rnacentral:piRNA from 1 species
UAGAGGCAUCGGGUUGAUUCUCUU